rnacentral:rRNA from 1 species
CCAGACUCCUACGGGAGGCAGCAGUGAGGAAUAUUGGUCAAUGGGCGGGAGCCUGAACCAGCCAAGUCGCGUGAGGGAAGACGGUCCUACGGAUUGUAAACCUCUUUUGCCGGGGAGCAACGGGGUCCUUGCGAGGGCCCGAUGAGAGUACCCGGAGAAAAAGCAUCGGCUAACUACGUGCCAGCAGCCGCGGUAAUACGUAGGGAGCAAGCGUUGUCCGGAAUUACUGGGCGUAAAGGGCGCGUAGGUGGGCGCUUAAGUCAGGUGUGAAAACUCCGGGCUCAACCUGGAGACUGCACUUGAAACUGGGUGUCUUGAGGGCAGGAGAGGAAAGUGGAAUUCCUAGUGUAGCGGUGAAAUGCGUAGAUAUUAGGAGGAACACCAGUGGCGAAGGCGACUUUCUGGACUGUACCUGACGCUGAGGCGCGAAAGCGUGGGUAGCGAACGGGAUUAGAUACCCCCGUAC